rnacentral:sRNA from 1 species
CCAAAUGUUGGGAAUCACACCGAGAACUCCCAGGCUCCAUGUCGGCUGUUGCGAUGCCGAUAGUUAUCAACCGCAACAAGGAUACUUCAGAAGCCUGAUAUCAUAGAUUUGAGCGUCAAGAGGCAGGAUCAAUGUGACUGGGAUAUAUAUCCGCACCCUGUCUGUUGAAGACGGUAUCUGCCCUGGGGUGAAGGGUAGUUUGAAAUAGCACUUCUUGAAGGCUUGUUGUUUUGGUUAGAGGCUCCUUUUUAUUGGUCCAAAGCGUUGGCCGUCUGGGUGGGUUAUAUUGGUUUGUUAUGCUAUGUGCGGGCCGCCCAGGGCUGCAAGGGGUAAGAGUCUACGCCGUAUGUCGGAACUGGAUAAAGUCCGAAUAUUGACCCAAAUACUGAAUAUCGAUAGAUUAAUUGAAUUUUUGUUAUUCUAACUCCGAUAAUUACAUGAUAACUAGGCAGUAUUUAUGAGAA